UUUUCCAAACAUAAAUAAUUUGGUAGGUUUGCAAAUUGUAGAAACACAGAAUACUUUCAUUUCCCAGCAACCAGCAACACCUCUAGGCUAUUGUUCCCACCAUUGAAAUGGCGGAGGAAACGGAGCUCAAUCUUUCAAAAAUCACACUCCGGCCAUAUAACGCUUCCGACAUUGAUGACUUCUUGAUGUAUGCUGGAGAUGAGAAAGUGACACGGUUCACCCGGUGGAACACCUUCUCCUCCAAGGAAGAAGCUCUUUUCUAUAUCAAGGACUAUUGCAUUCCACACCCUUAUUGCAGAUCCAUAUGCAUAGACGACCGUUCAAUUGGGUUUAUCAUCAUCACGCCACAGUCCGGGGAUGACCGGUUCAGGGCAGAUGUCGGAUACGCCUUGGCUGCUCAGUACUGGGGGCAAGGCAUAACAACUAGAGCAGUGAAGAUGGCCAUCACUGAAGGGUUGAGAGACUUCCCAGAUGUGAUUAGGUUUCAAGCUUUGGUUGAAUUAGAGAACAAGGCUUCUCAGAGGGUCUUGGACAAACUCGGGUUCCUCAGGGAAGGUGUCAUGAGACAGUAUAGUUUCAACAAAGAUUUUAUGGUGAAGUUGGGGCAUAUUCGAAUGCAAAUGCUAACAUAAGAGUAUAGUCCCACAUAGGGAAAGCAACAAGAUGGCCAAGACGAGUGGUGUCAUAUAAAAAAGAUCAAGUGGGGAAGAGAAAGUUCAUACCUUUCUCGGCCUUUUGGCUAAGAUCAAGUGUAGUAUCUGUUCUUAUCAGUUUAAUAUCUGAUAUGUGAGCCAUCGGCUCACGUGAUAUUAAAUUUAUAUUUUGAGGGGAGAGUCCACAGCAGUAGCUUGCUACUGGGGCUCUCGAGCGUCGCCCAUGCGUUGCACUACAGCACGGGCCUGGCGCACCCCACCAAAAUCAAGCUCAAAUAUUCUUUCUACUCGACUGAUUCGAGCAUUCGGCCCUGAUCCUUGUGCUUCCGAAAGGUCAGUUUCUUUUGACUAGAGGAAGUUAGGUUGGUAGCUCUAAGUCGUGUGUUUGAAUGGGAGUUUGUUUGGAAACGUGGAAGACAAACAAAAUGGUCAAACUUUGACGGGUAAAUAAGACAAUGAGGUUUGGAAGGUUAGGUUCGGAUUUGGGUACGAGUUUUUUUUACCCUUUUAUGCUUGGAAGUGACCACCCUGAGAACGAUGGGACAUGCCCUACCCUGAAACAAGGCUUUUAGAAUCCAGAGUUUGAUGGAAAUCAAACUGCGUCCCUAUGAAUUAUCUGAUGUGGAUGACUUCAUGGAAUGGGCAUGCGAUGAUGAAGUAAUUCGAACGAGCAGGCUAAGGCACUACACUUCAAGAGAAGAUGCACUUGUUUAUCUUCAGGAAGUUGCCAUACCCCAUCCAUGGUACAGGGCCAUAUGUUUGGAGGAAAGAUUGGAUUUAUAUGCAUCAAACCAGGGUCUGCCAGUGAGAGAUGUAGAGGUCUCGUUAGCUAUGCUCUAGGAUCAAAGUACUGGGGCAAAGGUAUAACCACAAUGGCAGUGAAAAUGGUUGUGUCUACCGUGUUUCAAGAGUUUCCGGAUAUCGAGAGAUUGGAAGGCUUUGUUGAUGUGGAUAAUAAGGCCUCGCAAAGGGUUCUGGAAAAGGCUGGGUUUCAAAAGGAAGGUGUCCUUAGGAAAUAUGUAAUCGUCAAAGGAAGGACUAUUGAUGUUACUAUGUAUAGCUAUCUAAAACCCGACCACAUUAUUACUUGAAGGUUUUGUUUUUUGUUUUUCCUCUCUUCAUCAUUUUGAUGAAAUUUGUUCUUGAAUUUGGCUUUGUUAUUCGAUCUUUGUUACAAAGGUUGGUCUAUUAGAUUCUAUAAUGGGUUUUAGACAGAAAAGCUCAACGGGCUUGACUACUUAAGAUUCUCUUAAAUUCAUGUUUGAACUUGAGAAAUCCAAGUAGGAAAUAGAUUCUGCGUUAUU